GGUUAAAUGGUGUAGUGGUUAUCACAUCUGUCUUACACAUAGUAAGGUUCACAGAAGGUCCCAAGUUCAAUCCUUGGUUUAAUCA